AUUGAACGCUGGCGGCAUGCCUUACACAUGCAAGUCGAACGGCAGCACGGGAGCAAUCCUGGUGGCGAGUGGCGAACGGGUGAGUAAUACAUCGGAACGUGCCCAAUAGUGGGGGAUAGCCCGGCGAAAGCCGGAUUAAUACCGCAUACGACCUACGGGUGAAAGCGGGGGAUCGCAAGACCUCGCGCUACUGGAGCGGCCGAUGUCGGAUUAGCUAGUUGGGGGGUAAAGGCCUACCAAGGCUACGAUCCGUAGCUGGUCUGAGAGGACGACCAGCCACACUGGGACUGAGACACGGCCCAGACUCCUACGGGAGGCAGCAGUGGGGAAUUUUGGACAAUGGGCGCAAGCCUGAUCCAGCCAUGCCGCGUGCGGGAAGAAGG
rnacentral:rRNA from 1 species